rnacentral:tRNA from 1 species
GGGGAUGUAGCCCAAUGGUAGAGCAUUUGCCUCAUGAGCGAGGACCUGGGUUCAAGCCCCAGUACCA